CGAUCCGUCGGUGUUAUUCUCAAAAAAACCUGAUGGGGAGCAUCCCGGAAACGAAAGUCUUCCGGUUCCGGGGGAAGUAUGGUUGCAAAGCUGAAACUUAAAGGAAUUGACGGAAGGGCACCACCAGGAGUGGAGCCUGCGGCUUAAUUUGACUCAACACGGGGAAACUCACCCGGCCCGGACACCGUGAGGAUUGACAGAUUGAUAGCUCUUUCAUGAUUCGGUGGAUGGUGGUGCAUGGCCGUUCUUAGUUCGUGGAGCGAUUUGUCUGGUUUAUUCCGAUAACGAGCGAGACUCUAGCCUACUAAAUAGUUUGUGCAUUGUCUCUGCGCAUAAAACUUCUUAGAGGGAUUCGCGAUGUUCAGUCGCAAGAAAUUGAGCAAUAACAGGUCUGUGAUGCCCUUAGAUGUCCGGGGCUGCACGCGCGCUACACUGGCGAACGCAACGUGCUUGUCCUUGGCCGAAAGGCCUUGGUAAACCAUUGAAAUUUUGCCGUGAUUGGGAUCGGAAAUUGCAAUUAUUUUCCGUGAACGAGGAAUUCCAAGUAAGUGCGAGUCAUCAACUCGCGUUGAUUACGUCCCUGCCCUUUGUACACACCGCCCGUCGCUGCCCGGGACUGAGACAUUUCGAGAAACUUGGGGGACCGUUGA
rnacentral:rRNA from 1 species